AUACAUCUAUGGAUGGCAGCAGGCGCGUAAACUGCCCAAUCCUCAUUGAGGGAGGCGGUGACGAGCAGUAUCGAGGCGCGGCCCUACGGUUGCGCUUCUGAAAUGAAAGAUGCAUAGAACACACGACAGAAAGCGAGAAGAGGGCAAGUCUGGUGCCAGCAGCCGCGGUAAUUCCAGCUCUUCGAGCGUAUAUUAAAGUUGUUGCGUUUAAAACGCCCGUAGUUGGACUCCUCGGGUGGCGAGGUCCGGCCUCAGGGCGGCGGGAUCCGGCCGAUCAGUUUUCGCCUCGGUCUCCCCCUUUCCCCAGUCCCCCCGGGGCUGUGCGCGCGCGCGCUCGUCGUGUGCGUCGUGCGGUUCCCGAGGGGGCGUUUUGACGGGUUGGGGCGGGGGCCGGGGUGAACCGGCCGGGCUCAGUUCCGCCGCGUUGCAGCGCCCGGACGCCUUGGGAUUGUGCCGCCUCCGGCCCCCUCGCGGGGGCUGGGGACGCGGCCCCCUUGGUCUUAUGCUUGCGCCCGGUGGCGCGGUCUCGGGGUUGCGGGUCCCCCGCUUCCCCUUCCCCGCGCCAUGUUACCAUAAAGAAAUUGGAGUGUUUAAAGCAGGUCGCUUCGGCCCUUGCACAGUCCAGUAUGGAAUAAUAAAGCAGGACUUUCGUCCGUUUAUUGGCUUUCCGGACUGAAAAGUAAUGAUUAAUAGGGGCAGUUGGGGGCAUUAGUACUGGGGCGGGAGAGGUAAAAUUCUAUGAUCGCCCCAAGACUCACUAAAGCGAAAGCAUUUGCCAAGGAUGUUUUCAUUAAUCAAGGACGAUAGUUGGGGGAGAGAAGGAGAUCAGACACCUCCGUAUUCCCAACCAUAAACGAUGCCAUCUAGGGAUUGGGCGAGCCCAUAUUUCCUAGAACUCCCUCAGGACCUUGCGAGAAAUCAUAAGAAUUCAGGUUACGGGGGGAGUAUGGUCGCAAGGCAGAAACUUAAAGGAAUUGACGGAAGGGCACCACAAU
rnacentral:rRNA from 1 species